GCUGCGAUUGAGGAAGAGCGAGCCAGCGCCCGGAGCAAGCGGAGCUCCCCCAAGAGCCGGAAAGGGAAGAAAAAAUCCCAGGAAAAUAAAAACAAAGGAAACAAAAUCCAAGACAUACAACUGAAGACAAGUGAGCCAGAUUUCACCUCUGCAAAUAUGAGAGAUUCUGCAGAAGGUAAGCUUGCGAUAUUGGCCUGGUCUGAAUUGGGUGUCUAUGUACCCAGUGAAUUUAACUUUGUAUCUCUUUCUGUUGUCCUUCUGAGAAUCAUUUAAGAUCUUUACGAGGUUAAACAGCAGAAAAGCUGCCUAAAUUUAAUAUGGUAAACUGAGCCUUCUAUAUGCUACCUUCCCUUCAAACAAUUGUGAAAGACUUUUCUUCUUAAAAAUGAACUUGUUCCCUUGUUAAAAUAAAAUGAGACCAAGUGUGGUGGCUCACGCCUGUAAUCCCAGCACUUUGGGAGGCUGAGCCAGAAGGAUCUCUUGAGGCCAGGAGUUUGAGACCAGCCUGGGCAACAUGUGAGACCCUAUUUCUACAAAAGAAAAUAAAAUAAGAAAAUUCACUAAGAUGAUGGCAUGUGCCUGUAGUCCUAGCUACUUGACAGGCUGAUGUGGGAGGAUCACUGGUGCCCAGGAGUUUGAGGCUACAUUGAGCUGUGAUCCCC
rnacentral:sRNA from 1 species